rnacentral:tRNA from 1 species
UCAUCAAUACCUCUGUCGGUGAAGCGCCCGACUGUUAAUCCGUAUGUCCCUGGUUCGAGCCCAGGUUGAGGAG